AUUGAACGCUGGCGGCAGGCUUAACACAUGCAAGUCGAGCGGAGCGAGGGUGCUUGCACCUUAGCUUAGCGGCGGACGGGUGAGUAAUGCUUAGGAAUCUGCCUAUUAGUGGGGGACAACAUUCCGAAAGGGAUGCUAAUACCGCAUACGCCCUACGGGGGAAAGCAGGGGAUCUUCGGACCUUGCGCUAAUAGAUGAGCCUAAGUCGGAUUAGCUAGUUGGUGGGGUAAAGGCCUACCAAGGCGACGAUCUGUAGCGGGUCUGAGAGGAUGAUCCGCCACACUGGGACUGAGACACGGCCCAGACUCCUACGGGAGGCAGCAGUGGGGAAUAUUGGACAAUGGGCGGAAGCCUGAUCCAGCCAUGCCGCGUGUGUGAAGAAGGCCUUUUGGUUGUAAAGCACUUUAAGCGAGGAGGAGGCUACUAGUAUUAAUACUACUGGGUAGUGGACGUUACUCGCAGAAUAAGCACCGGCUAACUCUGUGCCAGCAGCCGCCGUAA
rnacentral:rRNA from 1 species